rnacentral:rRNA from 1 species
UACGUAGGGGACGAGCGUUGUCCGGAAUUACUGGGCGUAAAGGGCGCGCAGGCUGCGUUACAAGUCAGCUGUUAAAUGCAUGGGCUUACCCCAUGAGUGCGGUUGAAACUGUAGUGCUAGAGUACUGUAGAGGCAAGCGGAAUUCCCAGUGUAGCGGUGAAAUGCGUAGAUAUUGGGAGGAACACCGGUGGCGUAGGCGGCUUGCUGGACAGAUACUGACGCUGAGGCGCGAAAGCUAGGGGAGCAAACGGGGAUUAGAUA